CCAUCUCCCAAGAGACCCAUAUCUAGAAAGCAAAGCUAUGGCCAGGGUCUUGGGGUCUGGAGAGAGCGAGAGAAGAGGCCACAGAUCAGGACCACUGUGCUAAACCGGCCAGGACAGGAGCCCAACAGCCAACAGGGGAUCCCUCACCACCGUCCACCUGCCAGGGCCACACGAGCAGUGCCCUCAGAGGGGGAUUACCAACACGACGACCCCUUCCCCGCAGCCCGAGCGCCGAGCGGCUCUGUGUCAGGGAUGGGCAGAUUUCAGCCUAGAUUCUUGGCCAGAGGGAGUACAAGGGGGUUUUUCGGAGUCGGUAUCUGCCUGGCUGUGCUUCCUCCUUCAUCAUGUGGUUUUAAAGAGAAGCCAUGAGGCCUGCAGGCCCCACUGGGCAGGAAAGAGGCACCGUGUGGUGGCUGGCAGGGAAGGGCGGCCCCCAGAGUGCGUGUGAAUGUGAGCAUCCCAUGAGUAUCCGUGUGUAAGCAUGUGUAAGACAGUGUGUGUAAGCAUGUGACUGCAUGUGUAAGCAUGUGACUGCAUGUGUAAGGCAUGUGUAAGACUGUGUGUGUAAGCAUGUGUAAGACCAUGUGUAAGACUGCGUGUGUAAGACCGUGUGUAAGACUGCGUGUGCAAGACCGUGUGUAAGACUGCGUGUGUAAGACCGUGUGUAAGACUGAAUGUGUAAGACCGCAUGUGUAAGACCGUGUGUAAGACUGCAUGUGUAAGACUGCAUGUGUAAGACUGUGUGUAAGACCGUGUGUAAGACUCCGUGUGUAAGACCGUGUGUAAGACUGCGUGUGUAAGACCGUGUGUAAGACCGUGUGUAAGACUGCGCGUGUAAGACUGUGUAAGACCGUGUGUAAGACCGUGUGUAAGACUGCAUGUGUAAGACCGUGUGUAAGACUGCAUGUGUAAGACCAUAUGUAAGACCGUGUGUAAGACUGCGUGUGUAAGACUGCGUGUGUAAGACCGUGUGUAAGACCGCUUGUGUAAGACUGCGUGUGUAAGACCAUGCGUAAGACCGUGUGUAAGACUGCUUGUGUAAGAUUGCGUGUGUAAGACCGUGUGUAAGACUGCGUGUGUAAGACCAUGCGUAAGGCCGUGUGUAAGACUGCGUGUGUAAGACUGUGUGUAAGACCGUGUGUAAGACUGCGUGUGUAAGACCGUGUGUAAGACCGUAAGACUGCGUGUGUAAGACCGUAAGACCGCGUGUAAGACUGCGUGUGUAAGACCGCGUGUAAGACUGCGUGUGUAAGGCCGCGUGUAAGACUGCGUGUGUAAGGCCGUGUGUAAGACCGGGUGUGUAAGACCGCGUGUAAGACUGCGUGUGUAAGACCGCGUGUAAGACCGCAUUUGUAAGACCGCGUGUAAGAUCGUGUGUAAGACUGCGUGUGUAAGACCGAGUGUGUAAGACUGCGUGUGUAAGGCUGCGUGUGUGGCUGCGUGUGUAAGGCUGCGUGUAAGACUGCGUGUGUGAGGCCGUGUGUAAGACUGCGUGUGUAAGGCCGUGCGUAAGACUGCGUGUGUAAGCAGAGGGCCCUGUUGGGAACCUGAAAAGGUGUCCAGGGCAACCUCAGCUGACCCCAGCCUCUAUGCGGCCUCUGGGUUGGGAAACGCUGUUUCUCUUCUGUCUGGAGACCCCUCAGGAGGAAGGGUCUCCCGUCUGCUGGGUGAGGGGCUGAAGUUCGGGCCCCCUUGCCUCCCUCCCUCAAGGGCAAGGCAGCGAAUGGCGCUCGGCUGCCCCGGGCUGCCCUCGUCUAGGCCCCAUGCGGGUUCCCUGGGGGCCUCCUGAUGCUGGCCUGGGUCUUUACUUUUGCGGCCCUCGGGCCCUGUGGGGACUCGGUCCCACCCAGCUGCACACCUCUCUAUGGGGCCAAGAUGUGGUCCUGGAGAUGCCCAAGAUGGGACCCACCGGGAGAAACUGCGCCAAGGGCAGGCUGGCCUCUACGCGGCGUUUCUUACAACUGCACACCCAGCCACGUGAUUUCAAGGAACAUUUCAGUGGAAAGAACACCCACUCCAAAAAUC
rnacentral:lncRNA from 1 species